CAAAGGUCAUUUUCCUUGGCCGUCCAAUUCCAGACUCAUUCUUCUCUUUCACAUAAAUAACACCGAGUCACCAACUACUAUCCAUCCUUCCGUUCCCGACUACCAAUGUUUAUCAUCGCGUCUCCCUCUCUUCUUUUCAGACCUUCGGCUUUUUCCAAGUCUUUGUCUAUGAAAAUCAUGAAAUUUUCCUUCUUAUAGCGUUGGAGACCAAGUUUUAGCCCAAUAGAAAGAGUCACAAGGGAGAAAAAUAAACCAAAAAAAAAUGCAAGGUUCGAUGGGGCUUGGUUUCAUGGCUGCCUUUGCCGUUUCAGGAAGUGUAGUUCUCAUUGCACGUCAAGUCCACAAACGUCUCCUCUCUGAUUUCAUGAAGAAGAUGGAAUUUGAAUUAGCGGGAUCAAGGAGAUCAUGUCAAGACAGGAAGAGAGUGCGAUUUGCAGAUGAUGUAUUGGAGCCAUCAUCAAAUAACAAAGAGUACCGUAAGAGACACACCAAAGGAGACAACGAGGUCUUGAAAAUGGAGGAUUUUGUCCUAGACCAGAGUUUGAUGGCGCAAAAUUGUUAGAGGCCAUGCCACUUAAUAGGCAAAACUUGUAUAAAGCAGUCGUUAAAUAUAAAUCCCUUAAAGGGUACAAUUUGUAAACCUGUUUAUUGUCUUCAAAAACUGCUUCGAUUAUCCUGGAAGCUGGUUUUUCUUUCAUCUUGUAGAUUCUGGAGUUCUCUACUCUGCAGGAGGGGUAGAUUUUCAAGCUGUACAUCUUGAGAUGUGAAUUAAAUAUAACUACAAAUUAUCCUAAACAAAAUUGAAAA